rnacentral:rRNA from 1 species
AGAGUUUGAUCAUGCCUCAGGACGAACGCUGGCGGCGUGCCUAACACAUGCAAGUCGAGCGGAGACAGUGAGUAGCUUGCUAUGAGCUGUUUUAGCGGCGGACGGGUGAGUAACGCGUGAGCAACCUUUCCCAGACAGGGGAAUAACACACCGAAAGGUGUACUAAUACCGCAUAAGACCACGGAAUCACAUGGUUCUGAGGUAAAAGGUUUAUCGGUUUGGGGUGGGCUCGCGUCCGAUUAGGUAGUUGGUGAGGUAACCGG